AUUGAACGCUGGCGGCGUGCCUAAUACAUGCAAGUCGAGCGAACAGACGAGGAGCUUGCUCCUCUGAUGUUAGCGGCGGACGGGUGAGUAACACGUGGAUAACCUACCUAUAAGACUGGGAUAACUUCGGGAAACCGGAGCUAAUACCGGAUAACAUGUUGAACCGCAUGGUUCAACAGUGAAAGACGGUCUUGCUGUCACUUAUAGAUGGAUCCGCGCCGCAUUAGCUAGUUGGUAAGGUAACGGCUUACCAAGGCAACGAUGCGUAGCCGACCUGAGAGGGUGAUCGGCCACACUGGAACUGAGACACGGUCCAGACUCCUACGGGAGGCAGCAGUAGGGAAUCUUCCGCAAUGGGCGAAAGCCUGACGGAGCAACGCCGCGUGAGUGAAGAAGGUCUUCGGAUCGUAAAACUCUGUUAUUAGGGAAGAACAAAUGUGUAAGUAACUAUGCACGUCUUGACGGUACCUAAUCAGAAAGCCACGGCUAACUACGUG
rnacentral:rRNA from 1 species